AUUGAACGCUGGCGGAAUGCUUUACACAUGCAAGUCGAACGGCAGCACGGACUUCGGUCUGGUGGCGAGUGGCGAACGGGUGAGUAAUGUAUCGGAACGUGCCCAGUCGUGGGGGAUAACGUAGUGAAAAUUACGCUAAUACCGCAUACGAUCUAUGGAUGAAAGCGGGGGAUCGCAAGACCUCGCGCGAUUGGAGCGGCCGAUAUCAGAUUAGGUAGUUGGUGGGGUAAAGGCCCACCAAGCCAACGAUCUGUAGCUGGUCUGAGAGGACGACCAGCCAGACUGGAACUGAGACACGGGCCAGACUCCUACGGGAGGAAGCAGUGGGGAAUUUUGGACAAUGGGCGAAAGCCUGAUCCAGCCAUUCCGCGUGCAGGAUGAAGGCCCUCGGGUUGUAAACUGCUUUUGUACAGAACGAAAAGGUUUCUACUAAUACUAGGAGCUCAUGACGGUACUGUAAGAAUAAGCACCGGCUAACUACGUGCCAGCAGCCGCCGUAA
rnacentral:rRNA from 1 species